rnacentral:rRNA from 1 species
GGCAAGCGUUGUUCGGAAUUACUGGGCGUAAAGGGCGCGUAGGCGGAUAUUCAAGUCAGAGGUGAAAGCCCCGGGCUCAACCUGGGAAUUGCCUUUGAAACUGGAUGUCUGGAGUUCGGGAGAGGUGAGCGGAAUACCCAGUGUAGAGGUGAAAUUCGUAGAUAUUGGGUAGAACACCGGUGGCGAAGGCGGCUCACUGGCCCGCAACUGACGCUGAGGCGCGAAAGCGUGGGGAGCAAACAGGAUUAGAUACCCUGGUAGUCCACGCCGUAAACGAUGUGUGCUAGCCGUUGGGAUGCUUUGCAUUUCAGUGGCGCAGCUAACGCGAUAAGCACACCGCCUGGGGAGUACGG